CGAGGGCGUAGCCGAGGUAGCGGCCGACGUUGCUGACGACGUCCAGGCGGUUCAGCUCCGCGCCGUUGC
rnacentral:tRNA from 1 species